AUUGUGCAUUUAUUUUGAUUUCAUAACAUUAUAGACAUCAUUCAAAGAAACUUCCACCAAUAAAAAAUCAAAUUGAUGGCAAACUGAGGGCGUGAAGACAAAAAGACUGCCGCGCUGGCAUUUUGUGAGAAUGGCUCAUCGCUGAGCAUGCCCAGUAAAACAGCCAAAAUCCAAGUCGAGCCAAAUUAGUUCGCGGUUUCAAAAAAAGGUGUCGCAUGGCUCAAAUUAUGGCGCCGCCUAGCGGUGAGACACACCAACUGCUGUGAACAGGCUGAAAUAUUGCUUGAGUGACGUAAACCCGAGCUGUCAGAACCGGACUUAGCCAUUUUUGUGUUUGUUUACGUUCCUGCCACGUUUGCAAUUUCUCUUGCAUAACAAAAAAACAUUUUAUUUCGGUUUUCGCGGAAUUCCUGGGCGUAACGCGGUUCUUUGGUGCCGAGAAAAACUGCCGUUGAUUAAUUUUGCCAACGGUCCGUAAAUUUUGCGCAAAAUUUCGGUUUCGCGAAAGUUGUUCCUAAGGAAUUCGGCAGCUGGAGAAUCCGGACGUUGCCGAACCUGUCGACAACGGGUGUGGCCGUGUCCGGAUUUCCAUCACCGGAAACAUAUUUGGUGCAAAGUCGAGCUGGGAGAGCUGAGAAGAAGAUAGAUGACGAGAAGAAUACGUGAACCAAAAAGUAGUUGCCGGAAGAGUGUCGUGUGCGGUAGUGCAGUGUUUCUUUUUUGCCGCACCGGAAAAAGGACUCUGGACUCACGAAAGGAACUGCUUAAUCUCCCCCGAGCAAGGCCCGCCGGUGUUCGCUUCCGGAGCUGCAGCGUACUGCGGGACUGGAGCCGCUGCUUGCUGGGGAAUUGGUACCGAUUCCGUCGAAUCCGAACCGGGGAACAUACCGGUCAUGGUGUGACCGCAGCAGAACCGAUCGCAACAACUCCCGCUGUAUCGGCAAUCUGGGCCAUCAGACCAGGUCCGAUUCCGCGUGACACAGCAGGUAUAGAAGAUUUAAACAUUGCCCAGUUCCGUUCCGCGCGUAAUAUUUUGAAAAUAUUCUUCCGUGAGGGUGAAUUCCAAGUCUUCUGCACUCCUGUUGUGCCGCACGGAACCGUAAACGGUUAUCCGGUCACAAAAUUGCACUGAUUUGGUGGGGUGAAUAUCAGGGCUAAGAACCUUUUUCUGAGGAAAACAAGAAAUUGGGAUUUACAUUUCGGACAAAAGCAAAGAAGAAGUUUAUUGGGCGGAUUUGGGAAGAGAAAAAAGGAAAGCCGGAAGUGCCAAUUUGGUGUGUUUACUGUUGAAAAUCAACGUGAAAAUAAUGAAUAUGAAAAAAACGAGUUAACAAAACGAAAACCCAGUUCGACUUAGCACUGAGCUGUAAUUCUUGUUGUGAUUUGAUCACCAUCAGCCUUCCUGCGGGUGAUUUGGAGUCUGCAAUAUGAAAUGCCUCCCGGAGUGUCAAGGCAGCUCGGCUUUAAAAAAUGGUAAUUUCGGUCAGCAUAUCCCAACCAGCCCACGUGUUCCGAGUCCACCAGAGUCCAGUUCCAGAUUGAUUCCGCGGAGAAAGCUUCAGAGUAACCGCUCAGAAACACAUGUUGGUCAUCUCACCAUCCAUCACUACAGCGAGAUCCAAACCGGCUUGGAUCUCCCCGAAUAAACUACACUGCCAUGAUCAUCGUCCGUCAUCGCGCACUUCCACCACGACCACGGCGAAGCUUACCGACUGGUGUCCAAGAUCGGUGGCACCGACUUCCACAAGGUCGACCAGCGCUGCAUCUACAUCAAGUCGACUGCCAUGUCGAUGCUCUUCGAGCCACGAAGCGGUGUUCAUCAUCAAACAGCGCUAUAAAGACUGUUCCGAAUUAAUCUAAUCGACCGGACACGUGGACUUUUCGUCUGAGGCCUACAUGCCCGGGGAAUGCUUACAGACCGUGACCUUGCUCUGCUGGACCAUCGCAGAGCGGAUCAAGCCUACGCUUCUCAUCAAGCAAAUGGACCACGCGAUGCUGAAACUGCAGCUGGACGCUGAAGAUCUGUACGAGGCCUUAUAUCAUAUCGUGAACGUCAUCACCACCACGGACAAAAUCAACGGUGGCCCGAUGCGGGAUGUGCGUGUCCACCCGAGCAAACUUUCGAAAACAAGCCGACGGAUCACGAAACUGAUGGUUACGUGGAAGUUGCCGACUGAAAAGCACUGCUUCAGAUAAUAGACAUCUGCCGACGCCCGUGUUCCUUCUUAAGCACCGUGCGAAGGCCAUCAUGCCGAUGAAGCCACCGUUGCCGUCGCCGUCGAGUUCCGCGCUUCUGAUGUCCAUGUCCAAAAUGGUACCUACCUCCAACAUGACGUAUUACGGAAUGGUCCGACUGCACCCCGGAAAGCGCGAUUACUUGUCUGGACAGUGUCGAUUCUAGUCAAGACCAUCUCGACUUUCAAGGCUGCCCACAACACGAAGGUGUGGGAUUUCUCCAUGUCGCCUGCCGCCCUGGUUGACAUGGACAAUGUGGUCCGACAUGGUCCGCUCGUGGGGCCAAACACCGGCGACCAGACGGUGCUUUCUGCUUGUCGCGGUCAGCAGUACGGCAAGAAUCGAACUGCCAAGGAUUUCUCACUGUCGGAGAAACUAAAUGACCAUCACGGAUCACGGAUUCAUCAAAACGUGAAUUCGGCUUCCCGAAACAGCCAGAAUGUUGUAGGAAAGUUGCCGGAACCGGUUUCGGUGGCAAGGGAAUGUCCUACCGACAAGACCGAUGGAGUGGAACUCGUCAACAUGCACGUCCGCUGUGGAUCGCCAUGCGAAGCGAGCACGUCAAGCCGCCCGCUGCCUGCCCCGUGCCGAGAAGUUAAACUGAACCGUCUACGUCCUCCUUCCUUCCGGUUCCCGUCGAGAUUCCAAGAAAUCGUCCAAAAAGCCCGUAGAAAACAAAACAUUGAAUACCAAAUCAAUAUGUCUUGUAAAUUUACUUUUUAAUAAA